AUACAAGCUGGCUUGCCUGCGAUGGCGGUGCAUCAGUCAACUUAUUGAGUCACUGAUAGACCGCCAUCGCAGGUAAGCCAGCUCCCAC
rnacentral:misc_RNA from 1 species